UUAUUACAAUGUACAUAUACAUAAAGCAACAAUACAGCACUGGAAUAUAAAGAUGUAGGUUAUGAAAAUUCCAGUAGAAGUGAUCAACUGAAUAUGAACAACAAUUAUAUGACAUGUUAAAUGAUAAUAAACUUUAUUUGUCAGAGAUUAAAUUGCACUCAACAUUUCACUUAAUUAUUUGUGUGAUUUUUUUUUAUUCCAAUAACAAAUAUCUUAACAUAACUAACCAUAAAUAGUAAUCAGUAAUCUUCAUAUUUUUUUUUAUUUCAAUAAUUAAACAAACAACACAGACCAGAAGUUACUUUUGAAACAUAAUUUAACCAGAUGAAAUUUAUAAUUUUAUAAUACUUCAUAUCUCACUAAACUGAUUUUUAUAUGAUAUAUCAUGUAUAAAAAAAUUAUAUUUACACUUCAAAAUUAUUUUAAUUUACAUGUGUAAAAUAACAAAAAAUUAUAAUGGACUUCACAUUUUAUUGCUUUAAAUUUUUCAAUAACCCCAUUUUUAUUAUCAACAGAUCAAUCUGUGUUAUGUACAUCUGGUCCUAUUCUCUCUUAUCUAUGUUUACAUAUUUACCAAUGGUCAUCAAAAUUGUCAUAAAUAAUCUGAAUACAUUUGUCAACAAUCAGAUCAAUACACACAGUGACAUUAUUUACAUAUCUUGGUCAUGUGACAAGUUAUGCAAAUAUAAUCAAGAUGAUCUACAUGUUAAAGGUCACACAUUGUCAUUAUAUAUUUGAAAAUUUUAAAGUACUUAAACAUGAUUUAGAUGUGUUUUAAUCAGUCAAUGACAUUGAGAGGAUAAUCUUAUCAAUUAUUUACUGGUUUUAUCAGGUUGUCCAAAUUUCACUGUUGACCAGACAUCUUUGUCCAUCAUUGAGGACACGCACCAAAGUUGUAUUAGUUGUCUUACUUUGUCACAGUUUAAUCACUGUCACUAUCACUCUCAUCACUUUCACCCUCCUUAACAUCUAUGCUGAACUUGUACUCCUGAUCACAUCCCAUGUAGGCAUCACUCAUAUAGUAUAUAACAUAGUUAUAAUGUCCAGGAGAGGGCGCCACAAAGUCCA
rnacentral:lncRNA from 1 species